AGCUAACCACUCUGGAUGGAAGCGGGAGAUUGAAAGAGCUGGGAAGCAGUGGCCGAAGGUAUGGCUGGUGAUUGGGAUG
rnacentral:rRNA from 1 species